UUAUUUUAUUAUUAUUUUAAAAAUCUAUUUCACCCUGUGGGCUUCUCGUAGUGUACCCAUGCCAGAGUAAACUGCAGCCCUGAACCAUUGCCCAGCCUCCUUAUCUGUGGGCUGUGAGCACUGAAGGGGGUUGUACAGUG